AUAUACACUGGCAUGCCGAAAAAUAUAUCAGCUGUAGCAAAUAGAAACUUGUAUGAUAGGGAUUAUAAAUUUGAAGCUAUUUUUCUUGCUCUUCUUUGACUUUUUCCUCAUCGUUUUUCUCCCCUUUUGCCUCUUCCUCAUUG
rnacentral:ribozyme from 11 species